UACGGGGGGGGCAAGCGUUGUUCGGAAUUACUGGGCGUAAAGGGUUUGUAGGUGGCUUGUUAAGUCAGACGUGAAAUCCCUCAGCUUAACUGGGGAACUGCGUCUGAUACUGGCGAGCUUGAGUGCAGGAGAGGAACGCGGAAUUCCAGGUGUAGCGGUGAAAUGCGUAGAUAUCAAGAGGAACACCUGAGGUGAAGACGGGUUGCUGGGCUGACACUGACGCUGAGGCGCGAAAGCCAGGGGAGCAAACGGG
rnacentral:rRNA from 1 species